UUGGCUCACUGCAAGCUCUGCCUCCCAGGUUCACACUAUUCUCCUGCCUCAGCCUCCCAAGUAGCUGGGACUACAGGCUCCCACUACCUUGCUCGGCUAAUUUUUUUAUAUUUAUUUUGUAUGGUGUGAGGUUUAGGUCAAGAUUUUUUAAGAUUCUUUAUUUUUUCUUCUCUUUCUUUCUUCUUUUUUUUUUUUUUUUUUUUUUUGGCCUAUGGAUAUCCCAACUAUUUUUUUAAAAGAUGGUUUUUCUCCAUUGAAUUUUAUUUGUACCUUUGUCAAAAAUCAGUUGGUAGUUGGUUUUACUUAUGUGAAGCUAUUCCUGGGUUCUGGGUUAUACUUUAAUCCUUAAUAACUUUAGAGAAAAUAAUUAUCUUGUCGUGGCCUUCAAUGUAUAUCUAAGGCCUAUCUGAUUGCCCUGUCACAUGUCCCUUGAUUUUCUUAUUUUUCUUCUUCCUUUCUUCCCCUGCCCCUAUAUCCUCAUAGAAUUAUCUAUGUGGGUUAACCAUCAGUUUAUCAGUUUAUUAAUCAAAUCACAGUAUUUCUUUGUGAAGAUAGUUCUGCAUGAAUUUUUUUUUGAUGAGGGAGAGACAUAGAUGAUUUUAGGUAAACAGAUAUAGAACUUCCUUUAUUGCGGUAAAGGAAUAUUGUCUUUAAUAUUUUCAUUCCCAAUUGUUGUAACUUUUGUUCAGAUACAUUUUCUAUGCAAAUAUUCUCUUUUUCUGCCUUCUCUGUAUAAGUUGUUUACUUUUAUCUAUCUGUGGCUUUCCAUUUUAAGUGUUUUCCAACUUAUUCUUCAUGACCAUGUAUUUUUACCAGUAAAUUUUUUAUUUCCUUUCCAAUUUUAGUGCAACUUUUAUUUCUGAAAUGGCUUUAUUUUCAGUUUUUAACUGAAUUGUACUAUGUCCCCUUUUAGCUUUUUACAUAAAAUAUCACCUUUUAUUUGGUCUUAUGUCUUUUUAUUUUAAUAUAUCUUUAAGAAUCUAUACUCUUCUCGAUUUAUUUAAUACCAUGGAAAGCUGUUUUGUGUUACCUUUGCUUCAGUUUUUAGGAUUAAUGAUUCUGCUGACAUGUAUCUUAGAGGUGGUAUGACAUAGUAGUUAGGGGUGGUAAUAUCAGAUUGCCUGGUCGCUAAUCUCGUCUACUACCUUCUUAGAUAUAUGAUUUACUUAACCUUGUUAUGUUUUUUUAAUCUGUAAAAUAAAUGCAUAAUAGGAAGUUAAUUGUGAGAACAGUACCCCUUGGGAAGAGAUUCCUUUAGUUUAAUAUAGUCCUAAGAAAUGCAUCAGUGAGGGGAGCACCAGAAUUCUUGAAAAAUUCUUUAGUGAAGAUCAGAGAGGACAGUGGAAGACGAAUUAUGGAACUGGAUUUCA
rnacentral:lncRNA from 1 species